UACGUAGGGUGCGAGCGUUGUCCGGAAUUACUGGGCGUAAGGGCUCGUAGGCGGUUUGUCGCGUCGGGAGUGAAAUCCACUGGCUUAACUGGUGGCUUGCUUUCGAUACGGGCAGACUGGAGGUAUGCAGGGGAGAACGGAAUUCCUGGUGUAGCGGUGAAAUGCGCAGAUAUCAGGAGGAACACCGGUGGCGAAGGCGGUUCUCUGGGCAUGUCCUGACGCUGAGGAGCGAAAGUGUGGGGAGCGAACAGG
rnacentral:rRNA from 1 species